UACGAAGGGGGGCGAGCGUUGUCCGGAAUCAUUGGGCGUAAAGAGCUCGUAGGCGGCUCAGUAAGUCGGGUGUGAAACCCCCCAGGCUCAACCUGGGGACGCCACUCGAUACUGCUGUGGCUAGAGUCCAGUAGAGGAGUGUGGAAUUCCCGGUGUAGCGGUGAAAUGCGCAGAUAUCGGGAGGAACACCAACGGCGAAGGCAGCACUCUGGGCUGGAACUGACGCUGAGGAGCGAAAGCGUGGGUAGCAAACAGG
rnacentral:rRNA from 1 species